ACGUAGGGUGCGAGCGUUAAUCGGAAUUACUGGGCGUAAAGCGUGCGCAGGCGGUUCGCUAAGCGAGGUGUGAAAGCCCCGGGCUUAACCUGGGAAUUGCGCUUGUAACUGGCGGGCUGGAGUACGGCAGAGGGGGGUAGAAUUCCAGGUGUAGCGGUGAAAUGCGUAGAGAUGUGGAGGAACACCGAUGGCGAAGGCAGCCACCUGGGUCGAUACUGACGCUCAUGCACGAAAGCGUGGGGAGCAAACAG
rnacentral:rRNA from 1 species